rnacentral:lncRNA from 1 species
UUGAAUAAUAGAAUGAUAAUUCUGGCAGACAAAAUUUUAUACAUAAGAGUCAAUUCAAAUAAUAAGGCUUUGAAAGAUGGAAGCCACCGUGUGGAGUUUGGAUUGUUUGAAUGAACACAUGCUUAAUGAGCUUACAAAUAUAUUGAAUAACAAAGUGUUUAUGGUAGAUCGAUUUGGAGAUAAAUAACUACUAGCUAAAGAAUAAAGAGGAAAAGCCAAGGGCUUGGAAAGUUGAAAUUUGAGCUUUUGAAUUGAGUUGAGAUGUAUUAUGCAUUGUGUCCUUUUGU